CAGUAGCCGCGGGAAUACGUAGGGUGCGAGCGUUAAUCGGAAUUACUGGGCGUAAAGCGUGCGCAGGCGGUUCGUUAAGACAGAUGUGAAAUCCACGGGCUUAACCUGGGAACUGCAUUUGUGACUGGCGAGCUAGAGUAUGGCAGAGGGGGGUAGAAUUCCACGUGUAGCAGUGAAAUGCGUAGAGAUGUGGAGGAAUACCGAUGGCGAAGGCAGCCCCCUGGGCCAAUACUGACGCUCAUGCACGAAAGCGUGGGGAGCAAACAGGAUUAGAUACCCCGGUAGUCCCUGUCUCUUAUAU
rnacentral:rRNA from 1 species